UACGUGGUCUCUAUGCAAUCUCCGCCUCCCUCAUCUCUCUCUUUAUUCCUCAAAGCCUUACAAGCCAAUUUCAAGCUAUUUGCUCCAUUUGUCUCUGUGUUUUAAACUAAAGAGCUCUUCUGCCUCUCUUUGGGGUUUCACUAUUUUGCAUUUUCGCCAAGUCGCUAGCUGAACUUAGAGAGGAGGAAAGUUUGCUAUUGACGGAAAGGAUAAAUUUGAAAAAUGAACUGCCAGCUUUGUGUCUCACUCUUGAGAAACAGAGAGCUACAAAUGACAGUUUGAAGAGAAUUAAGCAACCCCAUGUGUAUGAAGCCAAGUUUAAUGUUGGAGCUUGAAGAAGUGCUUACAUGCAGGAUUACUGAAAAGAAACUUUUUUUUGACAACUAAGCAUUCUGCCCAGCAAUGGAUUGCUGUAAUCUGCUUCACGACUAAGCAUUUUGUUGUAAUGUAAAGCUUUAGAUAUCUUGCCAUAGUUUUUCAUUUCCGGCUCUUUAGUGCUUGUGUUGGUUUGUAUGCAUUUGUUUUGCUUUCUCAAAGUUCUGACACUGUUUGGAGAGUUCACAACAGAAUGAAAUGAAUUAGAGUGGAUAGGUUAUAAAUGAAUGGAAUGUGGAGGACUAUAUUAUUUUCUUUUGUUUGGUGUGUUUUGGAGUUGCAUAAGAGAAGGAAUGGAAAGAAGAGAUAUCAUACUUGCACCUCAGAUGGUUCAGUGAAGAUAUUGUUGGUUUUGUGUUUUUAUUGUGUGUAUCCAUUUAAUAGUCAUAAAUGUGGCUUGCUAAG